UACGGAGGAUGCGAGCGUUAUCCGGAUUUAUUGGGUUUAGAGGGUGCGUAGGCGGGAUGCCAAGUCAGCGGUAAAAUGCGGUGCUCAACGCCGUCGAGCCGUUGAAACUGGCGUUCUUGAGUGGGCGAGAAGUAUGCGGAAUGCGUGGUGUAGCGGUGAAAUGCAUAGAUAUCACGCAGAACUCCGAUUGCGAAGGCAGCAUACCGGCGCCCUACUGACGCUGAGGCACGAAAGCGUGGGUAUCGAACAGG
rnacentral:rRNA from 1 species